rnacentral:lncRNA from 1 species
GAGUCCUACAAAACAUUGGUGAGAAAAAUGAUCCAUUAAGUUGAAACAACCCAGCACACAUUAUCUGUAGAAAUGGAAAGCUGCUUCUAAACUGUACAUGGAAAUGCAAAACAACAAGAAAGGCUAAAAUAAAUAAACAGAAACCCAGAAUGUUAUUAUUAUUCAUUGUUGACAAUAUAAAGGUAAGAGUGCUAUUGUCAGAUAUAAUACAAAUGGAAGAGCAUAAGAAAAUAAAGGAAUGCUACUUUUUGAAUUUUAUCAAAUGUUGUGUGAACACUGAACAAGACUGAAGAAGAAAUAAACUUAUAAUUAAUUAUGUUGUUUGAGGUUAAAGAUAUGUUGCUCCCAGCCUCCAUCUCCAUCUCUCAAUUUUUUUAUUCGUUAUAUGUCAUAUUUAAUAUAUAUUACAUUUAUAUGUCAUAAUUUUAUUGUUAAGCUUACUUUUACCUUUAUUUGGCAACCACAAUUAUUGCAGGAAAUAAUCUUGAUUUUGAUUCCAGAUGUUUUACAGUGGUUUCUCAAUUCUGAAGUAGUGAUUUUAACUUUUGAGUUUUGAGUAGUUU